GAGACGCUACAGCUAGCGGCCUGCUAGCUUUUGAAAGACUGGAGCGACUCAACUAAGGAAAAGACGACUUUUAAACUUUCUGUGCAGGUCCAGAAAUUGAUGGGAGUGAGAAAAACACAGUUGGACUGUGACUUUGAGGAGUCAGGAAGUGAUUCCUCUGGGUCUGAAUUAUGCAGCAAGAUGAACCCAGAUU